CAAAUACUCCCUCUGUCCGGAAAUACUUGUCAUCAAAAUGGAUAAAAGGAAAUGUAUCUAGACGUAUUUUAGUUUUAGAUACAUCUCUUUUUAUCCAUUUUGAUGACAAGUAUUUUUCAGAUGGAGGGAGUAUUUA
rfam:Triticum aestivum genome assembly, contig: Triticum_aestivum_CS42_TGACv1_scaffold_640732_T_7BL-0.158551_5BL-0.079818